UAGCUGGUGGCUCAGUGGUAGAGUGCAUGCUUUGUGUGUAUGAUGUCCUGGGUUCAAUGCCCAGCUUUUUCC